rnacentral:tRNA from 1 species
GCGUCCAUAGCUCAGUUGGAUAGAGCACCUGCCUUCUAAGCAGGUGGUCGCAGGUUCGAAUCCUGCUGGACGCA